GGGUGGUCAAAGUGGGGAGGUUCUCUUGGGUAGGGUCACCAGGGGCCCCUAAGGCAGCACCGCCAGGGAGGGUGGGCCGGGGGAUACAGAAGAGGAACUCGCCACAGCUCCAGCCAGCUAGAGCCUAGCAAACCGCGGCAACCUCCCCGUCCUGCCAAUAUCCCUUUUGACACAACCCAAUUGGUUCCACAUCCACCCUCCCCCGUGGCCUUGUGCCUGAGGUCUGGCCCCAUUGGAGGGUCCCGUUCUCCCCUGUGCAGUGACUGGCUAAGGCUUAGUUAAGUGGUGUAGUUGUGCCCAAUCAGACGCUGAGGAAGGGCAGAUGGGCGGCUUCUGGGAAGGGCACAGUCACAGUGCUGGGAGGAGGCUACCUGGCUCUGCGGCACUGCAGGUGGCAAGUGAUUUGGUGGCUUCACGUUCCGGGAAUCCAGGACCCACUGGUUCACAACCAAUUGCAUUCAUGCGACUGACUCCCAAAGCCGGGCUCUGGGGGAUAGGGGGACACUAAGAGCUGGUGCCAAGAGCGCCAUUUCAACCCUCUCCUUUCCCAGCAAACAGGCGCCCAGGCUGAAAUGGAGUAAAGAUCCUGGGUCUCAAGACUCAGGCCUAUAUUGGUGGCUGCCAUUCACUGACAUUUCCAAACAUGAGCCUGUUCUAGAAACUGUCUGUCAAACACUGAACAACCGCCGAAUAACAAGGCCCUGGAGUGGCUCAUCCCAUGUAAGGGCAGGGACAAAGCUCACUGACAUGUGUCCACUCUGUAAAACAGAAUGGGCUCACGGGACCAACACAAACACCCAUGAAGGGGCAGACAGGGAGAGUCGGGACCUCCAAAGACAAGUGGUGCUUGAAUUGGCUUGAGGAGGCUGCCCCAUCUCUGAGGUGGAGGAGGGAUCAAGAUGCCCGACUCCUGAGGUGAGGGAAACAGGCCUCUGCCAACCAGGAAGCAUGGCGGCCCUCCCCGCUCUUCACCUUCUCACCUUCUCCGGGUGGGCCAGGGCAUCUGCUGCUGUCCGAGUGGAGGUGCCCACGGG
rnacentral:lncRNA from 1 species